UCUUGAAACACGGACCAAGGAGUCUAACGUGCGCGCGAGUCGUCGGGACGACGCUCGUUUAAUCCCGUGGGCGCAAUGAGAGUGAAGGGAAGGCCGGCCUUUCGGGGCCGGCCGGCCCGAGGGAAGACGCGGGCGCGGUCCUAACCGGGCCCGUCCGAAGCACUCCCGGGGCGCCUCGAUCUUUCCGCAAGGCCAGGCGAGGCGCACCUAGAGCGCGCACGUUGGGACCCGAAAGAUGGUGAACUAUGCCCGGCCAGGACGAAGUCAGGGGAAACCCUGAUGGAGGUCCGCAGCGAUUCUGACGUGCAAAUCGAUCGUCUGAGCUGGGUAUAGGGGCGAAAGACUAAUCGAACCAUCUAGUAGCUGGUUCCU
rnacentral:rRNA from 1 species